rnacentral:rRNA from 1 species
UUUAUGGAGAGUUUGAUCCUGGCUCAGGACGAACGCUGGCGGCGUGCUUAACACAUGCAAGUCGAACGGUGAUGUCAGAGCUUGCUCUGGCGGAUCAGUGGCGAACGGGUGAGUAACACGUGAGUAACCUGCCCCCGACUCUGGGAUAACUGCUAGAAAUGGUAGCUAAUACCGGAUAUGACGAUUGGCCGCAUGGUCUGGUCGUGGAAAGAAUUUCGGUUGGGGAUGGACUCGCGGCCUAUCAGGUUGUUGGUGAGGUAAUGGCUCACCAAGCCUACGACGGGUAGCCGGCCUGAGAGGGUGACCGGCCACACUGGGACUGAGACACGGCCCAGACUCCUGCGGGAGGCAGCAGUGGGGAAUAUUGCACAAUGGGCGAAAGCCUGAUGCAGCAACGCCGCGUGAGGGAUGACGGCCUUCGGGUUGUAAACCUCUUUUAGUAGGGAAGAAGCGAAAGUGACGGUACCUGCAGAAAAAGCACCGGCUAACUACGUGCCAGCAGCCGCGGUAAUACGUAGGGUGCAAGCGUUGUCCGGAAUUAUUGGGCGUAAAGAGCUCGUAGGCGGUUUGUCGCGUCUGCUGUGAAAUCCCGAGGCUCAACCUCGGGUCUGCAGUGGGUACGGGCAGACUAGAGUGCGGUAGGGGAGAUUGGAAUUCCUGGUGUAGCGGUGGAAUGCGCAGAUAUCAGGAGGAACACCGAUGGCGAAGGCAGAUCUCUGGGCCGUAACUGACGCUGAGGAGCGAAAGCAUGGGGAGCGAACAGGAUUAGAUACCCUGGUAGUCCAUGCCGUAAACGUUGGGAACUAGAUGUGGGGACCAUUCCACGGUCUCCGUGUCGCAGCUAACGCAUUAAGUUCCCCGCCUGGGGAGUACGGCCGCAAGGCUAAAACUCAAAGGAAUUGACGGGGGCCCGCACAAGCGGCGGAGCAUGCGGAUUAAUUCGAUGCAACGCGAAGAACCUUACCAAGGCUUGACAUAUACCGGAAACAUGCAGAAAUGUGUGCCCCGCAAGGUCGGUAUACAGGUGGUGCAUGGUUGUCGUCAGCUCGUGUCGUGAGAUGUUGGGUUAAGUCCCGCAACGAGCGCAACCCUCGUUCUAUGUUGCCAGCACGUAAUGGUGGGAACUCAUAGGAGACUGCCGGGGUCAACUCGGAGGAAGGUGGGGAUGACGUCAAAUCAUCAUGCCCCUUAUGUCUUGGGCUUCACGCAUGCUACAAUGGCCGGUACAAAGGGCUGCGAUACCGUAAGGUGGAGCGAAUCCCAAAAAGCCGGUCUCAGUUCGGAUUGAGGUCUGCAACUCGACCUCAUGAAGUCGGAGUCGCUAGUAAUCGCAGAUCAGCAACGCUGCGGUGAAUACGUUCCCGGGCCUUGUACACACCGCCCGUCAAGUCAUGAAAGUCGGUAACACCCGAAGCCAGUGGCCUAACCGCAAGGGAGGAGCUGUCGAAGGUGGGAUCGGUGAUUAGGACUAAGUCGUAACAAGGUAGCCGUACCGGAAGGUGCGGCUGGAUCACCUCCUUU